rnacentral:tRNA from 1 species
GAGGGUAUAGCUCUGUGGUAGAGUGUGUGCUUAGCAUGCACAAGGUCCUGGGUUCAAUCCCCAGUGCUUCCA